AUGACGAAGCGCACCAAGAAGGCUGGUAUUGUCGGCAAAUAUGGUACCCGUUAUGGUGCCAGUUUGCGUAAGCAGAUCAAGAAGAUGGAGGUGUCUCAGCACUCCAAGUACUUCUGUGAGUUCUGUGGGAAGUUUGCUGUGAAGAGGAAAGCAGUUGGAAUUUGGGGAUGCAAGGACUGUGGGAAGGUGAAGGCUGGCGGUGCUUACACUAUGAAGUAUGUUCUCAUCAUCUGCUUCUCAUUUUUUCCAAAUUACCCAUUGGUUUGCCCAUAUUAUGUUGCUGAUCUUGCAAUAUGUGUUUGCAGCACUGCCAGUGCGGUCACUGUCAGGAGCACUAUCCGUCGUUUGAGGGAGCAGACUGAAGCAUAA
rnacentral:rRNA from 1 species